GACGAACGCUGGCGGCGUGCUUAACACAUGCAAGUCGAACGGAAAGGCCCCUUCGUGGGUACUCGAGUGGCGAACAGGUGAGUAACACGUGAGUAACCUGCCCUUGACUUCGGGAUAACUUCAGGAAACUGGGGCUAAUACCGGAUAGGAAUCCUUGCUGCAUGGUGGGGGUUGGAAAGCUUCGGCGGUUUUUGAUGGACUCGCGGCUUAUCAGCUUGUUGGUGGGGUAGUGGCUUACCAAGGCUUUGACGGGUAGCCGGACUGAGAGGGCGACCGGCCACAGUGGGACUGAGAUGCGGCCCCGACUCCUACGGGAGGGAGAAGUGGGGAAGAUUGCACAAUGGGCGGAAGCCGGAUGCAGCAACGCCGCGUGCGGGAUGACGGCCUUAGGGUUGUAAAACGCUUUCAGCAGGGGCGAAGCUUGUGGUGACGGUACCUGCAGAAGAAGCACCGGCUAACUACGUG
rnacentral:rRNA from 1 species